rnacentral:rRNA from 1 species
UACGUAGGGGGCUAGCGUUGUCCGGAAUCAUUGGGCGUAAAGCGCGUGUAGGCGGCCCGGUAAGUCCGCUGUGAAAGUCGGGGGCUCAACCCUCGGAUGCCGGUGGAUACUGUCGGGCUCGAGUACGGAAGAGGCGAGUGGAAUUCCUGGUGUAGCGGUGAAAUGCGCAGAUAUCAGGAAGAACACCAAUGGCGAAAGCAGCUUUCUGGGACGGUACUGACGCUGAGACGCGAAAGCGUGGGGAGCGAACAGG